rnacentral:lncRNA from 1 species
AAUGUACAAAACAAAACAAAAAAAAAAAAAAAAAAAAAAAAAAAAAAAAAAAAAAAAAAAAAAAAAAAAAAAAAAAAGCUCCAGCUUCUGUCCAGUCAAGCCAAGCUUCUGCCUAGUCAAGCCAAGCUUUGUUUCUAGUUCCAGUCCCCGUUGGCCCGGAGGAGGCCAUUCCAGUCCCCGUUGGCCCGGAGGAGGCCAUUCCAAUCCCUGUUGGCACGGAGGCGGCCAUCCAUGUCUUUGACACUCCGGUAAAGUGGACCUCUCUAGUCCCUCAUCCUAAUAGUCCUGCGCUGACUCCUCGAAUUCUAGUUUCUUAUGGACCGAUAAAGUGGUCCCCUCUAGUCCUGGUUCCAGAUGGUCUGCCGUGAAUCCCUCCAGGCCUAGUUCUCGGGCCUAGGCCCGACAAAUUGGACCCCUCUUGUCCUGUUUCCUAGUGGUCCGAGGAGACAACUCCAACCUCAGUUCCUGGUGGUCCAAAGAGGAACACGCCAGUUGUGUUUCCUGGUGGUCUGGAGGUGACCAUGCCUGCUGCAUUUACUGGUGGUCCGGAGAACAUGCCAACAUCAGUUCCUGGUGGUCCAAAGAGAAACAUGCUAGUUGUUUUUCCUGGUGGUCCAGAGGAGACCACACCAGCCCUGUCAUGACUCUGUACCUUUUGCUAUAUCCUGGGUUAUUUUGGUACUAUUCCUGUUUUGUUCCUGCCGGUCUUAGUUUUAGCUUUACUUUGUCAUCAUUGUUUCCUGUUUUACUGUUCUUACUUCUUGUCCUGCCAUAUGCAAUCAGUUCUUGCUUUCUCAUUACUCAUCCAUAAUCCAUAAUCAGGUUAUGCAUUUAAGCCUUAGUUUUCCUCACGCUCGCCGCUCGAUUGUUAGCUCAUGUCCCUGUGUCUACUCUCCAGCAUUCAUUCAAGUAAGUCUGGAUCUUGUUUUUGACCGUGUCUUGCUUGGUCCCUGUCUGUACUGUUUUGCACUCUGUCUUGUUGGUUGACCCCUUCCUGGACACUGACUGCCAUUGCCUGAUCCCUGUCUGUACCGUUGCCUUCAUUCUGCUACUUUGUGCACCUUUGCCUGACUAACCAUGAGACAUAUUAAAAUUCCCUCACUCAAAGCGUUGUCUGCUGUGCUGUGCAUUUGGGUCCUACACCAAACUGCAUCCCUGACAGAACAAUAUGGCCAAUCUUGGACCCAGCCAGCUCCUCCAAGUUGGUGACUUUUUGUUCUAGAUUAUUUUCUUUUGUGCUU